AUUUCUUUCUUAUUUUCCCGGCGUCUUAAUUAUCACCAGCGGGAUGGACAGGAAGAAAAGUCUGGAAGACACAUUUAGGGAUCCUGCCGCGUGACGACGGCUCUCCUAGAUCCAUCCACGGUUCCUCUGAAAGUCACUAGGAACUUUGUCAUCGAUGCAGUUGUUUCCUGAUAACGGAUGGAGUGCCUGCUGUAUUGAGAUUAUGGGUGUGGGCCACAGUGCCCAGCCAGAUGUAUCUUCUAAUCCACCAAGGGAAUCUGAACUGUUAAUUAAUUGUUAAUUGUUAAAACAUUGCUGGGGAAAAUAGCCCCGACAUGCCGCUUGAAGCACCUGGGCAGCUCAGACAUGAACUUCCUAAACCAUGAAAAACAAGACAACAAAGAGGAUGGAAGACAGGGAGGAAAAAGUCAUCAAAGGAAAGCAGCGAGAAACCGAGAAACUGGUGUGUACUGGAUCAGAGGGAAUAAGCAGAUGUGGUUGGAAGCAUACUAUUGAUGAAAAUCACCUCAGCUAAUAGACGUAGCUCAACCAAAACAUUGGCUUACACAAUUUGCUGGAAUUCUCUGGCUUCCACUAGCGGGCUUCAGCAGAAGAUCUGAACUCUCAGCUCCUCCUGCACCAUGCCUGUCUGGAUGCUGCCAUGCUGCCACCUUGAUGAUAAUGGACUCCUGCACCAUGCCUGCCUGGAUGCUGCCAUGCUGCCACCUUGAUGAUAAUGGACUCCUGCACCAUGCCUGCCUGGAUGCUGCCAUGCUGCCACCUUGAUGAUAAUGGACUCCUGCGCCAUGCCUGUCUGGAUGCUGCCAUGCUGCCACCUUGAUGAUAAUGGACUCCUGCACCAUGCCUGCCUGGAUGCUGCCAUGCUGCCACCUUGAUGAUAAUGGACUCCUGCACCAUGCCUGCCUGGAUGCUGCCAUGCUGCCACCUUGAUGAUAAUGGACUCCUGCACCAUGCCUGUCUGGAUGCUGCCAUGCUGUCACCUUGAUGAUAAUGGACUCCUGCACCAUGCCUGCCUGGAUGCUGCCAUGCUGCCACCUUGAUGAUAAUGGACUCCUGCACCAUGCCUGUCUGGAUGCUGCCAUGCUGUCACCUUGAUGAUAAUGGACUCCUGCACCAUGCCUGCCUGGAUGCUGCCAUGCUGCCACCUUGAUGAUAAUGGACUCCUGCACCAUGCCUGUCUGGAUGCUGCCAUGCUGUCACCUUGAUGAUAAUGGACUCCUGCACCAUGCCUGCCUGGAUGCUGCCAUGCUGUCACCUUGAUGAUAAUGGACUGAACCUCUGAACCUGUAAGCCAGCCCCAAUUACAUGUUGUCCUUAUAAGAGUUGCCUUGGUCAUGGUGUCUGUUCACAGCAGUGAAACCCUAGCUAAGAGAGUGAAUUCAGAUGUAGAAAUCUCCUUCAUCAGCAUCAUGUCUGCCUGCACGCUGCCGUGCUUUCCUCCGUGAUGACACGGAUUGAUCCUCUGAAACUGUAAACCAGCCCCAAUCAAACGCUUUUUAAUACAAGAGUUGCCAUGGUAAUGUGUUUCUUCAUAGCAAUAGGUCGCUAAGACCAGUGGUGUCUUGUUUUCCUGGUUAUUCAUGUUUCUUAGAGUCUUUUGUAGUUAUCUGUACAUUUGCACAAGAGAUUCUUUCCUCCAGGGUUUAUCAACUAUCUCUGACAUAGUGAUUAACUUUACCUCUGAGCUGGGGUGCAUUAAAGCAUACUUUGACUCUAAACCUAGUGAGCCAGGGCACGUGUGGAGGCUUUCAGUUCAGAGGGUAAUGAAUGUGUCUAUCAGCUCACACAGCUGGUAUCCAAAGUGUUGACAACUUGGCAGUCCUAUGCUGCGAGGACUGUUAGGGAUCCAGUGGCAAGGGCAGCAAUGGAGACAUGGGACACUCAGAUGCGUACACUUGGCCUCAAAGGCCAGCUGCAGGUAUCUGCUGGGUGACAAGUUUGGUGGCAGGCAAGUGCACAGCGGGAAAGUUUAGAGCACGAGAGGCUCAGAAGCCAUAGCUUGUAAAGGCAAAUAAAGACUCUUGGCUACAGAUUAAUGGAGUCCUCUUUGGAGCAAUGUUUUAAUUCUGUCACAUUAAAUAUUGUGAGUCCUCAGUGGUGAAAGUGUGAGGAGUUUGCAGCAGCUCCUGGGUCUGUUAAGUUUCCAGCAAAGAUGGCUCCAGAGUCCUCUUCUGAGGAGACUCUAAGGACAGCCAAGUCACAUACUCUAUUGCUGUCUCUUUUGCUCCGAGCUAUUUCCAGAUGCAUACUAUGCCAUUCUUCCUUAGUGAUCUGGGGAGAUCACCAGGCGAGUCUUUGAAAAGGUGUUCUGAAAGUUUGUGGGAUAUGGCUGUUCACCCAGCCUUUCUUUUUCUUAAGAGGGCAGUUCAUGGGCUGGUUAGUUUCUUCUCAGCCAGGGUAGUGAUGGGUUGGGGAGAGGUGUGUGAGUCAGGCAAAAUGAACCAUUUGCCCAUUGUUUUGAGGCAUUUUACUUGGGCGUUCUUCCUCCACCGUAUGCCUAUAUCUUUUACAAUGAUCACCCCCCAGUACUUCCAGAGAUAUUUACCUUCCUCGAUAGUUCAUUUGGUGGGGAGGGAGGAUGUUGUAAAAUCUGAUAUCUUACUCCAAUGUAUUGCUGUCAUCGAUUGCUACUGCCUGAUUGGAAAGCGUGACUCUAAAUCCCAGCCCUGCCUAUAACUCCAGUUUCAGUGAGUUUGGCACCCUCUCUUGGUCUUUAAAGCUCUUGCACAUACUCUCUUGUACACGUGCUCAUAAACUCAUGCAGGCUCGAACAGGUUCACAUAACUGA
rnacentral:lncRNA from 1 species